rnacentral:rRNA from 1 species
GUGGGGAAUAUUGGACAAUGGGCGCAAGCCUGAUCCAGCCAUGCCGCGUGUGUGAAGAAGGCCUUCGGGUUGUAAAGCACUUUUGUCCGGGAAGAAAUCUUCCAGGUUAAUACCCUGGGAGGCUGACGGUACCGGAAGAAUAAGCACCGGCUAACUUCGUGUCAGCAGCCGCGGUAAUACGAAGGGUGCAAGCGUUACUCGGAAUUACUGGGCGUAAAGCGUGCGUAGGUGGUUCGUUAAGUCUGCCGUGAAAGCCCCGGGCUCAACCUGGGAAUGGCGGUGGAUACUGGCGGGCUAGAGUGCGGUAGAGGGUGGUGGAAUUCCCGGUGUAGCAGUGAAAUGCGUAGAGAUCGGGAGGAACAUCUGUGGCGAAGGCGGCCACCUGGACCAGCACUGACACUGAGGCACGAAAGCGUGGGGAGCAAACAGGAUUAGAAACCCCAGUAGUCC